rnacentral:pre_miRNA from 1 species
UUUAGAACUUUAGGUAUGGGCUGAAUACUGAACAGUGUCUGGGCUGUAUGACAGAUUUUGACUUCUUCAUUGUUGCUAAGAUUUGGACUUCCAAACAGCAUAAUUGAGUCUUGGACUCUGCAUGAAUGUUUUAGGCCUAUGUCUUAGAUUUCUAGU